CAUUUCUUCUCUUUGAUGUAGCGAUAAAAAGUGCCACAAUUAUCUAACGUGAAGAAUAUUCCAAGAGACGACCGCACUGUGCGUCAAAGACGGAGACAAUAGGAGAAAAUGAUAAAGAAACAUUGUAAAAUCUUGCUCUGGAGAAUUGAAGAUGAUCGAAUUAAUUGUUAGGCUGUUAAAACGUUUUAUGCAACCGUUAAGUGAUCGUUUGCUACUCGUUAAUCAUAUAGAUUGGUAUAGUUGCUACGCAAUUAUUUGUUGCGCGGUUUACUUAUUUAUUUGUACUUAGGUUCUAUUACGUAAAAAGAUCGAAGAGAAUUAUUCACAUUUCUUUCAUUGUUAACGAACUAUAUUUAAUUAAACGUUUCAAAAGGUCCUAGUUAUCAAAGAUUUACAAUGCUUUUCGAAAGAGAGAGAAAAGAGGGAAAAUGUUCUAACGCGUUAGUAAGAAUAGCAUAUGUUUCACCUUUUUUCCUAUCUUCUUUCGAUAACAUGAUCUUAGCUACGAAUUAAACUUAGCUAGAAUUUUAAGCAAUUAAAAAUAUUCCUAGACUAGUUACCAAAACCUUGCAAAUACUGCGACUACCACGAUAAAACAAAGGAAAUGUAAUCGCAACUAACGCUUAUGCAAAAUCAAAGCUUCUCCUAGAAAUUAAAUAUACAAGUACCUAUCACAGCCCUUACCAUCAAAAUCAGAACCAUCAGACAUCUCGUCCCCCAACGAAAAUCACGAGAUACUUCUAUCCGAAAAUUAAAAGCGUCCUCCCAUUAUAAACGUCCCAUCUUCAACGUAGAGAAAGAUUCAUCCAAAAAAUCAUUUACCAUGUCUCGUCGUUACUCCUGGGGAGAGAAAAUCGCGUUUCGGAAAAGCGGAAGGGAGAGGGAUAGGAUCGCGCGGCAAUUACGACUCAUCGAGAUAGAUAGAUAGAGAGAGAAAGAGAAAGAGAAAGAGAAAGAGAAAGAGAGAGUCCGCGACACGAUGCAAGGUUACUGCCCCUUUCGCGAAGUCUGCUCGAGUCACAUCCGUGCAACGCUUUCUCUCUCAAUGUCGUCGAAGGAGAAGGCGGGAGCAGCCGACUAGGUACGUCGGGAUCAAUACGGCUCAACAGGUUACAUUCGAAGCUAACUACAUCGCCCCCGCGACUCCUACCUCCCUCUCUCCGCAACCCCUCUCUCUCCUAGUCUACUCUACUUCACCCCCCUCUACUCUGCCCUCCACCCCGCCCCACCCAUUGGUCUAUACGCGUCGCGUAGCAUCGUUGGAAGUUGAGACGACGAAAAUCUACGGGGGAUGCUGCUGCCGCUGGUGCACGGAACGACAGGGGUGUGAGGGUUGCCAAGCAACCCUUCGUUCUCUCAUCGACCACCGUGACGGGCCGCGCCCGUCUGAGACCACACCACCACAACUGUUACCACUACCGUCAUGCUACCACCGUCAAUUCCAAAGGAAAGGAAUAUCGAGCUGAAUCGGUGGCCCUAACUAAUUGUAAUGUAUCUGAGUCUGACGUACAUCGCACCGCGGCCUUUCAGUUGUGAGAAUUUUUUGACAUAUUUUGAAUACGUAAAAUGAUUCUGGAAAAAUUCAGUGAAAUACUUGAUAUGUACAAUAGUUGAAAUACUUGGUAUGUAGUUUCAGAGUAUUCAGAAUUCAAGCGCGCGUAGAAACGUUAAGGAAUUUUUCCACUUGCAAUUAGUUUGCAAUGCAGUAACCGAAACCGGUAUCCUGUUACGAUUAUGAAAGGCCACCGUGUGCCAACUUCAGGGUUAAUAUCGUGGUUUUAUUAAAGAACGAACGAAUAGAUGUAAGUGACAGCGAUGUAAAUAGAAAUUAUUGUCUAAUAUUGUUUAAGGGUGUAAAUGUAGAAUGUAUGGUUUGAUAAAUAUGGUUUUCUCUGGCUGUA